CAUCAAACUCAGAUGUUGAACGUGAAGGAUAACGUUGCGUCAGCAACGGCCCGUAGGGCGAGGCGAAGCCGAGUUAUCCUGCACGACCCACCA
rnacentral:sRNA from 1 species